rnacentral:rRNA from 1 species
GUCCACGCCGUAAACGAUGAUAACUCGAUGUUGGGGGAGUUGACCCCCUCAGUAUCGCAGCUCACGCAUUAAGUUAUCCGCCUGGGGAGUACGGCCGCAAGGCUAAAACUCAAAGGAAUUGACGGGGGCCCCGCACAAGCGGUGGAGUAUGUGGUUUAAUUCGAAGCAACGCGAAGAACCUUACCUGGGCUUGACAUAGUCUGAAUCCGGUAGAGAUAUCGGCGGCCCGCAAGGGACAGAUAUACAGGUGCUGCAUGGCUGUCGU